UUUCCUCAUGUAAUUCACAUUGAUUUUGAUUUUACCAGGAUUCUGCUAUGUGUCUUCAACAAAGAACUAGUCCUUAUUUAUCAUUAGGACUAACUCAAAAGCCCAUGAACCUUCUAAAUGAAGGAGGGAAAGAAGUGGACAUGCUGAUGAAAGCAGACAGCAACAUUAAAAAUCUCGAGGGAAGUGGGAGCACUCAGUUUUCUG
rnacentral:lncRNA from 1 species